rnacentral:rRNA from 1 species
UACGUAGGGUGCGAGCGUUAAUCGGAAUUACUGGGCGUAAAGCGUGCGCAGGCGGUUUUGUAAGCCAGAUGUGAAAGCCCCGGGCUUAACCUGGGAAUGGCAUUUGGGACUGCAAGGCUGGAGUGUGGCAGAGGAGACUGGAAUUCCUGGUGUAGCGGUGAAAUGCGCAGAUAUCAGGAGGAAGACCAGUGGCGAAGGCGGGUCUCUGGACAGUUCCUGACGCUGAGGCACGAAGGCCAGGGGAGCAAACGGG